CAGCCGCCGCGGGAAUACGUAGGGUGCGAGCGUUAAUCGGAAUUACUGGGCGUAAAGCGUGCGCAGGCGGUUAUGCAAGACAGAUGUGAAAUCCCCGGGCUUAACCUGGGAACUGCAUUUGUGACUGCAUGGCUAGAGUGCGGCAGAGGGGGAUGGAAUUCCGCGUGUAGCAGUGAAAUGCGUAGAUAUGCGGAGGAACACCGAUGGCGAAGGCAAUCCCCUGGGCCUGCACUGACGCUCAUGCACGAAAGCGUGGGGAGCAAACAGGAUUAGAUACCCCGGUAGUCCCUGUCUCUUAUAC
rnacentral:rRNA from 1 species